UUUUUCUUUUGUUGCUCAUGCUUUCGGUGUCACAUCUAAGAAUCUAUUGACCAAUCCAAGGUCAUAAAGAUUUUCCACUUUGUUUUCUUCCAAGACACUUAUGAUUUUAGCUUAUAUUUAGGUCACCAAAUUUGAGUUAAUUUUUGUAUAGUAUGUGAGGUGGGGGGGGUCUAACUUCAUUCUUUGACAUGUGGAAAUCCAGUUGUCUCAGAACUAUUUGUUGAAGAUACUGCUCUUUUCCCAUUAAAUGGACUUGACACCCUUGUCAAAUAUUGGCCACAGAUUAUGGGUUUAUUUCUGAACACUGAAUUCUAUUCUAUUGAUCUGUAUGUUUAUCUUUAUGCCAGAAUCAUACUGUUUUGAUUAUUGUAGCUUGUAGUAAGUUUUGAAAUCAGGAAAUGUGGGUCCUCUGACUUAGUUUUUCUUUUUAAGAUUGUUUUGGCUAUUCAGGGCCCUUGAAAUUCUACAUGAAAUUGAUUGGCUUUUCCAGUUCUGUAAAAAGGGCUAUUGGAAUUUUGGUAGAGAUUGUGUUGAAUCUAUAGAUUGCUUUGGUUAUGACUGCCAUCUUAACAAUGUCAUCUUGCUACCCAUGAACAUGGGAUGGGUUUCCAUUCAAUUAGGUCUUUAAUUUCUUUCAGCAAUGUUUUACAGUUUUCAGUAUACAAGUGUUUCACCUCCUUAGUUAAAUUUAUUCCUAGGUAUUUUAUUUACCCUCUCCUUUUAAAUGACUUAAAAUUCUCCCCCAUUGUAAUUACUAGACUAUAACACGUUCGCAGUGCAUAGAAUGGUGCUGAACACAUAGGGGACAUGAACAAAUGCUAACUGAAAGUAAGAAUCUCUAAAAUCAUAGGAUCUUAGAAAUUUGGGGAAACGCUCAUACCAAUUCUCCUCUUUUGAGAAAAUGAUGUUGAGAGAGGAUAGGUAUAUUGUUCCAAAGAGCAGUUAGCUAGUGGUAGAACCAGAAGUUCACAUUUCCUAAGAAUUUCUGUGGAUCAAAAUGUAAUCAUUUUAUGCCAAGAUUCUGUCUGCUGAAGUAAAUAAAUGAGUGUGUUUACAAACUUGGAUGCUUGUCUUUGGGUACGGAGAUUUUUUUCAAUGUCUGUUUUCUUACACUUUUAAAUGAAUCUCAGGGAUUCAUUUAGGAUUCAAGUGAAUCUUACUUAGGGUUACAAAAAGGAUUGGGAUACUUACAAAAGUAGCUUGGCUUUAAGACCAAAGGGGACAUAUUUCAGCAGUUGGAUAAUUCAAAUGGCUAAUCUGGAGGUAUGUAUCUAUGAGGGCACCACAUAUGGAAGUCUUGUGUGUAUGUAUGUUAGGUGAGAGGGUUGAGUGUCAUUUUGGAAAUGAAUUUAACUCAUUAGCUUUUUCUUCCCUGAGAACAGAUGACCCACCACUAGCUUUACCUCCUAAAAAACUUGUUUAAUUAUAGAAUUACUUCUAUUUAGAGAAAGAGUAGAGAAGAGUGAAAAAAAAUGUCCUUGUUUACAAACUGGGACAUUCCUUAAUGUGUUUUUGUUUGUUUGUUUUUUAAAGAAUUGCUUGGAGUUCCCAUUGUGUCUCAGUAGAAACAAACCCGACCCGUAUCCAUGAGGAUACAGGUUCAAUCCCUGGCUCACUCAGUGCGUUAAGGAUCCAGCAUUGCCACAAGCUGCAGUGUAGGUCACAGACGUGGCUGUGGUUGUGGUGUAGGCUGGCAGCUCUAGCUCCAAUUCAACCCCUAGCCUGUAAAUUUCCAUACGCUGCAGGUGUGGCCCUGAAAAGGAAAAAAAAAAAAUGCUUAUUAUUAUUAUUUUUUUUUUGCUCUCUCCUGAGUUAAGGGUCAAUCAGCCUGGGAAAGUAUUUAGUAUUGCUUUAUUUUGGCUCUUUUUCAUAGCUGGUCAGUCCCUCUGUCAUUCUCUUACUUCUCCUGAUAUAACCAGGACCUCCAGAAGAUGGUCAGUGAUCAUCAGUCUAGGAAUUGAGUAUCUGAAUCAAUGCUGGGAGAUUAGAAUUCUCUGACUCUGAAAUUUGGCAGCUAUACAGGAGAAUUGCUGGUUGCUCACUUAGUAUCUCUCUCUCUUUCCUUACUGAUAGCUCCUCAGUUUUGUUGUGGGCAAUAAGGUGCUUAGGAAAAACAAAAACAAAGCAAAACCAAAAAAUGGGGGAAAAACACCAUACAGUUUUCAUUCUCCUUUGCAGCAAGGGGUUGUCAUUAAGCUGGCUCUGGACAAGGCAUAAGAAAAUAUUUUUCCAUGGGGCUUUCAGGAAAGAUCUUUAACAUGGAAUUAAUAGCUGACAAAUACCUUUUGCCCUUUGCACUCUACCCUUCUUCCCAGCUGAAUUCUGGAUGUAACGCUGGAGGUGGAGCAGCCCUCCUAUAACUAUGACAACCAUAGGGAAAAGGUUAAGAUGUCACAGAGAUAUCAACACUGACAUCACUGUGCUGCUGAACCAAAGCCCACCACUGCCUACCUCUUGUUUCACAAGAGAAAUUUCCAAUCAGUUUAAACCACUGUUUUCUGGGUCUCUUAACCAGCAGCCCCAUUUAAUUCUUAACUGAUACAGGAGUUUAAUAAGCUCAAUGAGAUAAUUUGAGUCAAUGGACUAACAUGUAUCUUGUUGGCAAAUUAGACGGACUUACAGUAAACAUUACAGAGGAAUUCUAGGUAGCCAUGAUAAUGGUGGUGGCAUAAAUCUAAAUCUCCCAACAAACUACCCUCCUCCGUAAAACAAACAAAAAUAAACAAACAAAACACUCCACAGAGACUAUCCGAAUUUCAAUAACUAAGCAGAAAUACAUUAAAUCCCAGAAAGCUGCGCCCCACAUUGCUGAUGAAACCUUGCAGGAAAUAAACUCAAUUUGGGGGGGGGAAACAAAAAACAUGAAGAGUACAGGAAAGGAAUGCUGGUGGUGGACUUAGAAUUGAUUUAAAACUACAAGAAAGAGGAGUUCCCUGGUAGCUCAGCUGGUUAAGGAUCUAUGUUGUCACUGCUGUGGCUCAGGUCGCUGCUGUGGUGCAGUUUUGAUCCCUGGCUUAGGAACUUCUGCA
rnacentral:lncRNA from 1 species